UCCGUAGGUGGCGAGCGUUGUCCGGAUUUACUGGGCGUAAAGAGCGCGCAGGCGGUCGUGCAAGUCGCGUGUGAAAGCCCCCGGCUCAACUGGGGAGGGUCACGCGAUACUGCUCGACUCGAAGGCAGGAGAGGGAAGUGGAAUUCCCGGUGUAGUGGUGAAAUGCGUAGAUAUCGGGAGGAACACCAGUGGCGAAGGCGACUUCCUGGCCUGUUCUUGACGCUGAGGCGCGAAAGCUAGGGGAGCAAACGGG
rnacentral:rRNA from 1 species